UACCUCAAUCCCUGCUCUCAGCAUUACUACACAAAACACUCCUCCGACAGAGCACAUGCUGUCAUGAUUCAUGCAUUUCUUUUCUGUGCCUUUAGCUCCCACUUCCAUCAAACUGACUUUUUCCCCCCUGCCCCAGAGAGCCAAGUGCAAUGUCUUCUAUAGAGACACAAUAUCUGCUGAUUGUUCAGAAUGAAGUUAUUCUAACAGGAGCCACUGUUUGGUUCUCAGAAGACUGGCAUGGCCAUGAUUUCCUGGAUUCCUAUUGUUGUUUUUUUGCCAAAAGCUGCUGCCAUACUCCCACUUUGAAUCAUAGCUGGUUAGGGCAAUGAAGAGACCUGAGACAAGAUCACACGUCUGGACUCC